rnacentral:rRNA from 1 species
UGCUGGGCGGAUCAGUGGCGAACGGGUGAGUAACACGUGAGUAACCUGCCCCAGACUCCGGGAUAAGCCUUGGAAACGAGGUCUAAUACUGGAUACGAGAUGCCCCUGCAUGGGGAGUGUCUGGAAAGAUUUAUCGGUCUGGGAUGGACUCGCGGCCUAUCAGCUUGUUGGUGGGGUAAUGGCCUACCAAGGCGACGACGGGUAGCCGGCCUGAGAGGGCGACCGGCCACACUGGGACUGAGACACGGCCCAGACUCCUACGGGAGGCAGCAGUGGGGAAUAUUGCACAAUGGGCGAAAGCCUGAUGCAGCGACGCCGCGUGAGGGAUGAAGGCCUUCGGGUUGUAAACCUCUUUCAGCAGGGAAGAAGCGCAAGUGACGGUACCUGCAGAAGAAGCGCCGGCUAACUACGUGCCAGCAGCCGCGGUAAUACGUAGGGCGCAAGCGUUGUCCGGAAUUAUUGGGCGUAAAGAGCUCGUAGGCGGUUUGUCG